AACUCGGAGGGAUCAUUA
rnacentral:rRNA from 1 species